GGACCCUAAGAAAAGAAAGAUUUCAUCAUUUGGGAAAGAAAAGUUGGGAAAAGAGAAGAGAAAAGAAAUUAAAAGAUUGUGAUUCCUGUGUCACUGUUUCUAGAGUCGAUGUACCAUUGCCUGUUGUGCAUUUUGAAGAAUUGGUUAAUAGGACUAAAAGCAAAUCAUUGUACACUUUUUCUAGCUACAAAAACUGUUGCAGAACAAGUUAUGUGUGUACUACUAUGAAGCUGUAGUUUACAGCAAUGGAGCAUAUAUACCGGUUAAGGAAAGGGAAAACACUCACCAUCUCAGUCUAUUUGUGCUUUAUAAAUUAACUUUUCCAUUAUGAGAAAUGGAGGCCUUGUCACUAUUUUCAUGUAUGUUUACUAGAGGGACAGAGCAGUUUUCUGAAAAGUUUGUAAAUGUGUGACUAUAAUUACACUCACAGUUUACAUGUAUUAUCAUGCCAUCCUUCUUGUUGUUAUAUUCUUCAGGUGGUAUCGUUUGCCGGAUACAUUUGGUAGCUCAUACUAUAAGGAUACUUUGUCCUAGUGGGUGUGGAAGUGAAAUUAGUUUUGAGGGUUCUAUAUGCUUUAUUUAGUGUAACAACUCAAGAUCUUUGAAUAUACUCAACCUAGACAUAGUAAGGAAGUGCCUCUGUGAACGAUGGAGCAAGGGAAUAACUUCAUUGGAAUGUAUAAUUGUUAGACUUGAUCACAG
rnacentral:lncRNA from 1 species